rnacentral:rRNA from 1 species
UACAGAGGGUGCAAGCGUUGUUCGGAAUUAUUGGGCGUAAAGCGCGUGUAGGCGGCUUAGCAAGUCGGGCGUGAAAGCCCUCGGCUCAACCGAGGAAGUGCACCCGAAACUGCUGAGCUUGAGUGCCGGAGAGGAUGGCGGAAUUCCCCAAGUAGAGGUGAAAUUCGUAGAUAUCUGGAGGAACACCGGUGGCGAAGGCGGCAUCCUGGACCGGCAUUGACGCUGAGGAGCGAAAGCCAGGGGAGCAAACGGG